AUGGUCUCGUCUCAUUUCCACGUUCUUUGUUUCGAGUACAAGUUUCCAGGAGCUUACAUCGCCGGAGUGAACAUCUACUCGUCACGGACAGGAGCUUGGAGUCGCAGGGAUAGUGGGAUGGUCGAAAAAGUUAUCCUGUGUAGUAAAUGUGUCUAUGUCGGUGGUAUGCUAUACCUGAUAGGCAACCUGAAGCACAUCAACGGCGAGUAUGUGCUGGUCGGUGUGGACAUGGAGGGGAAAGUGUGGAAAACUAUCCGCGUGCCGUAUGGUCGAAGCUUUGGUACGAUUGGGGUGUCGCAGGGGUGCCUACACUAUGCUAUAGCUUCUGUCGAUGAUAACAAUAAAAUCCUGGUUUCUGAGAUAGCGCUCUGGUGCCUCAAAGAUCAUGACAGUAAAGAAUUGGUCCUGAAGCACACUGCCAGCCUCAAUAAGCUUAUGAGCAUGACGGGGCUGGUGUACCAGGUGGCUGAGAUUCAUCCAGAUUGCGACACCAUUUUCCUGGUUCAGUUUGGAGGUGAUACCUUGGUAUCAUAUGAUAUGCGGCAUCAGAAAGUUGGUUCUAUCCUUAAUCUUAAGAAAGACAGUAUACACAAAUUUCUACCUUAUGUUCCUCUGUUCUCAGAGUCAUUAGCAGAUGCUGAUGGGUAG
rnacentral:rRNA from 1 species